UACAGAGACUGCAAGCGUUUAUUCGGAUUCACUGGGCGUAAAGGGUGCGCAGGCGGCCAAGUGUGUUAGGCGUGAAAGCCCGGGGCUUAACCCCGGAAUUGCACCUAAAACUACAUGGCUAGAGCAUUGGAGAGGGUAGCGGAAUUCACGGUGUAGCAGUGAAAUGCGUAGAUAUCGUGAGGAACACCAGAGGCGAAGGCGGCUACCUGGACAACACCUGACACUGAGGCACGAAAGCUAGGGGAGCAAACAGG
rnacentral:rRNA from 1 species